ensembl:lncRNA
GCCAGAGUCAGUCCUGAGCUCCAAGAGAACUGUGCUUUGUUCUCCUUCGGGAACUGCUUCUGUGCGUGUCUCUGUGUGCACCACUUCAAAGCGUGAACUUGACACCACGUACAAAUUGUUCAAGAUGAGCCCAUGUUCAGCACAUGCUGGGAGGAGGACCUGACAGCUCUGCUGGCACAGAACCAACGCGGCUGGGCAAUGCGAGCCACUCUGCUGAUCACACCAUUCCUUAAUAGAGAUAUCUCCAGGAGAAACAUGCUAAUGUCAGUUGGAGAGGACGUCUCUUCCCCUCAUCUCAAAG